CCAAUUCACAUUGAAACACAGGUUCUCAUACGAUCACUGAAGUUGAGCAAUGUCAAGCCUGUCAGUACUGAGAUGGGGUGACUGCUUGGGAAUACCAGGUGUUGUAAG